rnacentral:lncRNA from 1 species
AUGACCUCGUCAAAGAACUGCAGAGUGUCCUCCUCGUCGGGGACCGGAGGCGCGGAGGGUUUGGCUCUUGAUAUCUGCGGUUACAAAGAGAGAGGAGGGAGAACAUCUGUCUGUGAUAGCUCCUGCUCUGUGCUCUGUGCUCUGUGCUCUCUGAUAGACGCUGCGGUCUUACCGGCUCGUCCCUGCGAGGCGGCGGCGGCGGCGGCGGGGCCGGCUUCUUCUUGGAGGACACUGUGGCCUUGGCCUCGCUGCUUUUCAAGUCACUCACGCUCUUUGUGUACUGCCGCCUCAGAGCCACGAGAGCCUCCAGAGUGGAGCCCGCUGCGGCGGCCUGGCUCCUCUCCCCCACCACCAGCAUGGAGGUGCUGCGGACCAGCCGGACGGUGCAGGCGCUGUGGUAGUCCUGCUCGGACCGGAGUCCACCGCCGGGACCGCCGGCACCGUCCCGCCCUCUGUGUCCGUGAUGGUUUGGACGGAACACAUUGUUGAUCUUCCUGAACAUUCCUCUACACGGAGUCUUUCAGGGUCACACUCGUAGAUUCCUCAGUGUUCGUCAAGCGUCCAUCCAUACUGGUCUGUUAAGGCCAACCAACACCUCUCCAGUCAAACAGACUGACAAACAAACAAACAAACAAACACUCCCUUCACCCUGACCGGAGCUGUUCACUGCGGCCUGUCGCUGUCCAGGGUGCUGAAGUCACCAAAGAGUGCGCAGGGUGCCACAGAGGCAGAUGUGAGCCUCCUGUCGAACCUGAUCUCAACAUGUCUGCAGUGUUAUCGGAUGUUGCUCAGCAACAUUGCUGUAGCAACGGGCAGGUAACUCUACACCGCGUGCUUCCAUUACUGCCGAGCAGCAGGCCUGUGUCAGGUGUCCUGACUCACAGCACACUGGACUGGACCAUAUAACACCAGCCAUCCGACCAGCUCCGGGCCUCAGGUGUUACUGACGGUGAAUCCACCUGUUAACAUAUGGAGGGCCGUGAGGGCCAAAACCAGAUAUCAAAAUAAGUAUCUGAAAACAUAUAUAAUUUUAAUGAAAUGCUAAAAUAAAUGGAUGAGUAAAUAAUUAAAUAACUUAAUGCUUAUUAAAUAUAUAAUGAUACAAAUACAUGCUUAAUUGAAUGAAUUAAGCAUUUGAUUAAUUCCGCAUUUAAUUCAUCCCCCGUGAGCCUGAAAAGGGUAAGCAGUUUCACAUAAUGGAUGGAUAACUCAGUGCUUAUUAAAGGUAUGAUUUUAUAAUCAAAUGCUCAAAUAAUUAAUACAUAAUGAAGUGAUUUAAUGCUUUGCCACAAUUAUUCAAUUAUGAAACAACACAUUUUUUAAAUUAUUAUAUCUUACAACCAACUUAUAAUUGUAAUUAUGUAUUUAUUCAUUUAUUUAUUUAAUUCAUUUUGUUACAUAAUUGUGUAUUAAUUCAUUGAUAAAUGCAUUUAAUCAUACAAUCAUUUAUUCAUUUAUUCAUAUAUUUACUUUUGGCCCUUAAAGGUACUCACGAUUUGGUAACAUAUUCCCAUAUUCUUGAACUGUAAGACUGCUCGUUGGGCGCCGUAGCAUUUGUGGCAGCCCCUUUACUCAUCUCCUCCACACUGUGUGUGUGUGUGUGUGUGUGUGUGUGUGUGUGUGUGUGUGUGUGUGUGUGUGUGUGUGUGUGUGUGUGUGUGCGCGCCUGUGUGUAAUGCGAGUUGAAAAAAACAAUUUCCCAAUUUGGGAUUAUAAUAGUAUAUAAAAUUUAACAAAAUAAAAUUGUAGAUAGCACAUGUGCUGUUUUUGUUCCCAAAACUCACAACAAUAGCCUGUUUUGCUCUAAGGUUUACGAAUACUAAUGAAACAUAAAGCACUAUAGUACAUUUAUAAUGUUCGCUCUUGCACACUGCUCUUCCAUGUAUCAAGAGCACCGUCUGUUUGUCUAUAGGCCUGUAAAAACUUUGCAUAGUUAACCUUUUAAAUAUCCUCCAUAUUAAUACACCUCCAGACCUUAAAGAAGAACAGGAUUAACUGAGGAUGAGUUUAAUUCUUCAUAUCUGUGUGUUUAUAUGAAGAUCAUAAUAAUAAAUCCAGAUGUAUAAACAGGAUGUUGUGGAUGCUUUAAUAAACUCCAGAACUGAUAUAAUGAUGUUGACUUAUGUCUGGGUUUCCUCACUUGAUUAAUAAUAAAUCAUUUUCUCUCGUGUUUCCUAUUGUAGUGCCUCCCUGAAUACAAGAGACACAUGCAGACAGGGUACUUCCAUCACGGAAAAAUCCCAGCCGUAAAUGUGCUCUGAAAGUUUCCAUCACUUUCACCAGAUAACUGAUUUAGUCCUCAGCAGAGUUUACCUGUGAGAGAUUCAAUUCAAAGUUUUCUUCCAGACGAGGAGAAAGGAGAAGAAAUGAGAAUAUAUCAACAGAAAAAAAGUGUCAUCAAGCC